CGUGUAGGCGGCAGGCCAAGUCUGUGGUGAAAUCGCCCGGCUCAACUGGGCGGGGUCCAUGGAAACUGGUCAGCUGGAGGACGGUAGAGGUGAGUGGAAUUCCCGGUGUAGUGGUGAAAUGCGUAGAGAUCGGGAGGAACACCCGUGGCGAAGGCGGCUCACUGGGCCGGUCCUGACGCUGAGACGCGAAGGCGUGGGGAGCGAACGGGAUUAGAUACCCCGGUAGUCCACGCAGUAAACGAUGCAUACUAGGUGUGGGGGGUAUCGAGCCCCUCCGUGCCGCAGCUAACGCAGUAAGUAUGCCACCUGGGGAGUACGGCCGCAAGGUUAAA
rnacentral:rRNA from 1 species